UUGCCAGUGAUGGUUGCGAAUUUCUUCACCUGAAUAAACCAUGUGGCCAUUUUGUAUCUGAGGCAAA
ensembl:snoRNA SNORD36 Small nucleolar RNA SNORD36